rnacentral:rRNA from 1 species
UACGAAGGGUGCAACCGUUGCUCGGAAUUAUUGGGCGUAAAGCGCACGUAGGCGGCUUGGCAAGUCGGAUGUGAAAUCCCUCGGCUCAACCAAGGAAGUGCAUCCGAAACUGCUGAGCUUGAGUACUAAAGAGGAUCGCGGAAUUCCCGGUGUAGAGGUGAAAUUCGUAGAUAUCGGGAGGAACACCAGUGGCGAAGGCGGCGAUCUGGGUAGAUACUGACGCUGAGGUGCGAAAGCGUGGGGAGCAAACAGG